GGGAGUGUAGCUCAGUGGUAGAGCAUAUGCUUAGCAAGCAUGAGGCCCUGGGUUCAAUCCCCAGCACCCCCC
rnacentral:tRNA from 1 species